GUUCAUUCGAGAGUGAAUAUAAUAAUAAUAAUAAUAAUAUGUAACAAGGAAUACGGCUAUUGUUCUCUCGCAUUCAGUUUCUGCCAGUGUCUUUGAAAUCGUGUUAUACGCCAUUUUGGUUUUACAUUUUGCCGAGAAUCUGUCAACGCGUUGACAACGUACAGUCUACAGAGACUAUAUUCUGCUAUAUAGGUAAGCACGAUAAGUUUGUCAUCAGCUGUAUUAAACGAACAAUAAUUAUAUACACGCCAACAAACAAAGGUUCAAUUAAUGUGUAAACCGUGAAAUCGUUAAAAAAAAAAAAGAAGGGCUGAUAUUUUUGCGGGCGUACUAUUGUUUUACGAGACAUGUUAAAAAAAAAGGAUAAGUAGAGUAAUUUAAUUUAUAUAUGUACGCGGUAAACCCCUGCUAACGAAAAACGAUUCCGAACAGAGUAUUAUUAUUAGUCGUAUUCGGUCCCUUGUGGCCAACGUAAUUAAGAUAUCAACAAAAAAUUAGACAAACGCUUGUUAGAUUUUCUUAUUUAUUAAGAAAACUAUAAGAAAAUAAUAUUAUCACCUUCCAUCAACAAAAUCAAAAAUACUACAAGAAAUUUGUUACCAAGUUUUCGAUUGGAGAAAGAUUUUUGGUUGAAAAGUUGUUUACGGACAUAUACGUCAAUGUAUUGUAGUAAGACCAAUAAAUUCUUCGCUUUGCUCAGAAUCUAAAAAUUAAACGAUAGAUACCCUUGGUAUUUGGGCUAGUCAAUCGUUUUUUUCAAAUUUUUGAGUUGUGAACUCGUCGUGAUCUCUACUGUCGCAGUAACUUCUUAGAAUCUCGGAAAAUCUGAUAUUUCUUUUUUUGCUAGGUGUUCUAUUUUCAUAUCGAAUCAUCAGUGAUAUAAUUAAUUCACUAUACAAACGUAGAACAGUCAAUCCACAAAUUUAAAUAAUUAAUUUGUUUUGUUAGAAAUGUUCGUCAGUAUCACAGACGCAAUUUAUUAUUUAUUGGUUUAUGUAUUUGCAACCAAAAUUUAUAUUCGUUUCAUUUUAGGUUUAUAAUUUAGUAGACAUAAUUCUGGCUCUCAACAUUUUUGCCCGAAUUACACCAAAGGGUCCAGCAUUUUUCGGUAUUAACGAUAAUCGAGUAGUUAUUAAAUUAUAAUAUAUUAUUUUUUAGGAUACCUACGUUAUAUUUUUUAUAAAAUAAAAUAAACACGUAUUUUGAUUAUUGAUAUUUUGAUUGGCAUUUAUAAUUUGAUGUAUAUAUAUAUAUAUAUUGUGGUUCUAAUCGAAAAUCCCUCGAGCUCAACUAAAUUUUUUUAUAAAUAAUACAAAAAAAAAAAAAAAAAUAAAUAAAUAAAAAAAUAGGAUAGUUUAUUAAUGUCAAAUAUUUAAAAAUAUUCUGGGAAAUUAAUUUCCAAUAUUUUAUUCCGAAAUAUUUCAUUAUGAAACGUAGGUAUAAUAUGUGUUUACAUAACAAAUUAAUUUACUGAAAACUAUCGAUUCAACUGCCAAAAAGUUGUUUAAUUAGUGAAAAAUAAUAAAUCAUCAACUAAUAUAAAAAAAGAAUCAAUAUUUACAUUUUCGAUUGGGUUUUGAUGUUUAUUUUAUUAUUAUAAUAAAAUGUAUAGCUAGUUUUGAGCACUUUAAACUUGUUAAUAAUAAUUAAAAUUGUUUAAUACAUUUUUCUUUUUAUUGUUUAUAAGAAAAUGGACGAAAAAACGUUAGCGUCAAAAUAAAUUAUAGUAAUUGUACUAAAUGAAAAGCAUAACUUAUAGUAUUAGAGGUAAUGAAAAUUAUAAUUAAAUACAAGCACCAUUAUUACCAAGUUAGGCUAACAAAUUUCGUCAUAAUAAUAUAAUAAAUUUAAAAAAAAAAAAAAAAUCGAAAAUUGUUAAUACUGAUGUACUUCCUUUUUUAUUAGUUGUUGAUUUAUUAUCUUUUAUUAAUUAAUUUAUACAACUUUUUGGCGAUUUAAUUCGAUAUUUUUCAUAGAAACUGUUAUUUUUCAGAAAACUAAUUUAUUAUGUAAACAAGUAAUAAAUAAUCCGUUUCAAAAUAAAUUAUUUCGGAAUAAAUUAUAAUUACACUAAAUUAAAAGCAUAAUUUAUAUUAAAGGUAAUGGAAAUAGCAUCAGGUUAUUAUUAUGUAACGUCUUGAACAUGAGAAUUCAUAAAUUAAAAAAAAAAAAAAACAAGAACUUCGUUACUAGAAUCGAAUUUUGUCCGAAUACUAUAAUAAUGUUAAUAUAAUAUUUGAAGAGUAAUUCCAAAAAAAAAAAAAAAUUGUUAAAUUAGAUCAUAUAUGAUGGAGGGUGGGAUUGAAAGUUGAAAGGAAUAUUGAAAGGUAUAUUCUCGAUACUAACGCUAUGCACUAUUAAAUUGCGUAUUCUUAGCUUAGUAUAGACUGUGGAGGGUCUGUAAGGGUGUUCAAAUAUAAAAAUACACCCUACUUCGGCAAAAGCACGGUGAAAUUCAAUCAAAAUGUAAUCACUUGUAUUUGCCUAUAGAAAAAAAAAUAUAAAACGUUAAUUUCCGAUUUUGUACUCAUUUGGUCCAGUGAAGGCCACUAAAGGUGUUCAAAAGAAGUGGGAUAAACUAUAUAAUAUACCUUUUAGAUACACAUAUAGGACACGAUACAGUGUAACAUUUUCUAUUUUUGAGAAAAUUCGACAAAAAUAAAAAGCAAAGAUCGGUUGUUGUGAGGAGAAAUUAUAAUGGCGUUUGAUAAAUAAUACAAAUAACUCCGCACGGUUUUUGUCCGUAAGACAAUAACAACACUAGGUAUUAUUAUUAUUGAUUCUGUUUAUUUUAUAAAUACAUUCGUUUUCGGAUUGGAAAAUUUUUUCGUCGCAUUCAGUAGUCAGUCAUUUGUGUGCCGUCGAAACACAAUAAUAAUUAUUGUGUUUGUAGCAAUAAUAUAAAUUCUCUUCAAGAAUUAAUGAAACUGUCACGGGAUGGUUUGCGCGCACACAAACUCAAAACUAUACGGUGGCGUGUCAAAAUGCUUAUAAAUAUUCGAGAGCAGUCAACUGGCGCAAUUUCGAAAUGUAUACGCGAAAGUUUUAUUCGCAAAACGCGAAUUACCAAUUCAACAAAUCCUUCGAUAUUAUUAUUAUUAUUAUUAUUAUUGUGUAAUGUAAACUUUUGAUAUGCAAAUAUCACAUUGUAUGUUUAUAAAUCACCAGGAUAACCGUAUAUUAAAGCGAGACGCGACUUGAAAUACAUUUGCGCGAUAUAAUAAUGUUAGCGCGUUAUAUCGUGGUGAUGGGGCUCUUUUUUUUUCUUUUUAAAAAAUCGAAAGAAAAAAUUGCAUUUAUUAAACAUUAUAAACAACGAGACCAUUGUUGAAAAAAAUCAAGUAGGUUACAUUUUAAAUUAAACUAAAAAAGCCGCACCAUGAAUAGACUUGCAUGGUUUUAGAUGGAAAGUUUAGAAGGUAUCUAGGUAUGCAUUUUAUAGUUUAUACACAAUAAAAUAAACAACGAUAAAUUAAUGCAAUGAAAACGAUUCUGUGCGGAACUUGAUAUAUUAUGGUAAUAUGGUUGCAAAUAAUUAUAUGUUAAUAGGGUACUAUAAUUAUGCAUACAGUAUGUACAGUAAAGUUAGCUUUAUUGUCGAAUUUUCCUCGAAAGUAGAAACUAUUGCUCCUUCGGGACCGAAUGAGCUCAAAACUCAGAAAUUUAAGUUGUUUUAUAAGCGGAUUGAAAUGUUAAAAUUUAGGUUGAAUUUUAUUACGAACGCCACCAUGUUGUUGCGGGAGGACGGUGGUUUUUUUUUAGAUAUGUAAUAAACUUCUAAAAUCGAGACUCUAAAAUCGAAGCCAGGCGGAUGGCAUUUUAAAUAUUUAUGCAAUUUGUACACCUAUAGUUUAUUUUAUUUAUUUUUCAUUUAAGUAUUAUGUUGUCAAUCGUAUUAUAAUACUUGACGCAAUUUUACGUCGCUAAAUUUUUUUUCGUGUAUAAUCAAAAAAAUUCCCAGUCAUUUAUAUUCUUCGAUUUAGUCGUUUGAGACUAAUUUAGAGAUUCCAGCACCUAGAAUCAAACCUAUAAAUAUAAUAAUAUAAUUCUACGUGUAAUCCAUAUUUGUUUAGCUUUUCAUUGGGAGCCGAAUUAAAUAUUUAAAUAAAAUGUUACUAAAAAUACGAUUUUAACAAAAAAAAAAAAAAAAUAGAAUAUAUUAAAAUAGAAUACAUUUAUUGACAAAAAAAAAUCAUAUUGUGAGUGUCAUUACCUUGGUGGCCCUUAUAAACUAAUUUUGAAUAAAAUAUGUUCGAAGAGAAAAAUUUUAAAUGCACGUUAUUGAAUGUCACUGAAUUUAUAAUUCGGUAUACGCAAACGAUGGAAUUUUGGGUGACCAUAAUAACAUAAAAGUUAUUAUAAAAUAAUUGUAAUCAGCUUAUAAUGCACGGUUUUCUUUAAUUUGUUCGUAUUUUAUAAUUGAAAACCACGUAGAAACUGCACGAUCGAGACAGCAUAAAAUUGAUUUCGUUAUUUAAUUUUUUUCAAUCUUAUAAUCUUGGACUUCGAAAACUUUUAAAUUUUAAAUCGUGGAUCGUUUGUUAGGGUAUACCUAUAGUGACAAAGUUUAUAUUCAAUAUUAAAUAAAACAAUUUUAAAAGUUAAAAUUAAUUUUUUUUUUAUUUUUAUCAGUCGACCACCCUCCCGCACAGAAAGUUAUUUUACCGAAAAUAUAACUAAACAACAACAAAAAAAAAAAAAAAAAUCCACACGUAUAUAAAGUAAAAGAAACCUGGGUUACUUAAUAUAUAUAUAUAUAUAAAAAUAUAAUAAUAUUUUUGAAAAGUUUUUAGUGGACAAACAAAAACUGCGCGUGAUUACAAUAAAAAAUAUAGAACAAAAAUCAGACAUAAAGAAAAAAAUAGAGCCGAUACUGUAGACGGGUGUGCUACUGUUGUAGGUAAGAAGUUGGGAAGGUACAAUAGAAAUAGUUAUUCAAUUUAUAUUUGUAUACAACGAUAAACAAUGGCUAACGAGUAACGAUUCUUAGCGAAAUUCGGUUAAAUAUGUUUUGAAAUACCGUGAUUUUUACGAUUAUCGUCAAAAUUUGAACUAAAAAAGCUUAUAGAAAACAAAUUAGUAAAGUCCGCUUUGCGAGCGUGCAAAGUUUCUGGUUUCUAAACAUACUUUAAACAGUAAACUAUAAUCCCAUACACAAUUCUGACACUCUAGUAACCCAGUGGCUAGUAUACAGGAAUAGUAUACUAAGGAAUUUUAAAUUUUGACAGAAAAUUUAUAAUCGCCUUUUCUAGACAUGGUAAAAUAUUUUAGCCAUUUUUCAGUUAUUCAUAGACAUUUUAUUUUUGCAAUUUUUUACGUAAUUCUUACUCGAUAGGUACUCUGUGGAUAUAACUAAACAGGAAUGCUUAAAAAUUUGACAGGAAGUUCAUUAUAAUUCGUACUCAGUGGUAAAAAGACAAAAAAAAUUGAGUGCAAUGUAGUAUUUUUUAUUUAUAUGAGUUUGAAUAACAAAUUUUGAUGAAACUCGUAAAUAUUACGGCCUUUCAAAACAUGCAAUUCGUUCUAAAUUGCUUUUCUUUAACAAUCGUUUAUCGCUGCUUAUACAGAUAUAAAUUAAAUAACCGUAUGCAUCCUACCAUCUCAACUUUCCACCUACAACAGUGGUACACCCGUCCCCAGUAUCAGCUCAUUUGUAAUAUUGGAUAGUAUACAAUUUACUUAUAUUUAAAUUAAUAAUGAUACUAAUUUAUGAUAGUAUAACAUAUUUCCUUGUCUAUCAAAUAAACAACCGUAAAUAUGUAUUAGUUACUGCUCGGAUGGAGAGACGGAUACAGCGGGGAUGUAAGGUGUUCUAAACUAAUAUUUCUAAGCCAAAAACUGUAAGAACGAUUUAGUUAAAUCAUAUGUUCAUAUAUUUAUAUUAACUAUACAAGGUGUAAUACGAAGAUCUGAUACCUGAAGUAACUUUUGUUCUGUACAAUAGUAUUAAGUUAUAGGUUUCUCGACAUAAGUUUAUAGCACUUUAUAUCCCCCUUUUGUCUGUCUAACCAUUUGUAUAGUUAUAUCGUAAUAUAUUACAUAGUUACAAUAUUGUUAUGGUUGUUGAUUUGGCUGACAAGGAGAUAUAUUAUAUUACUCAAAGUCACAUUAUUAUUAUCAUUACUAUCAGUUUAAAUAUAAGUAUAAAAAUAAAUUCAUAAUAGCCAAUAUUAAAAACAAAUAUUUACCAAAAUAAAAUCACCUUUAAAAUUAUAAAAAUGUCCUGUCAGCUUAUCACACAUGAAGAUAUUUAUAUAACUUAGUUUUAUAGACAUAAAGAUACUAUAUUAAGUUUUUAAAUUUGUUUUAAAUAAACAAAAAUACAAAAUUAUUUUUCAUGGAAAAAAUUGGUGAAUUGAUAUUAUAUUUUAGUAACGACAAUGAAAAAAAUUUAAGUUAUCGACAAAUUAUACAAAUUUUAGAAAAUUAACGAUCCAUCAUUUGUUAACAUAUUUUAUAACACCAAAAUUUUAUUUAAACAUUUUUAAUACUAAAUCACCUAAUUUGAUUUCUUCUUCCAUUUAAAUUUACAUUUUUAGUUUAUACAAAAUAUAAAAUAGGGGAAUUUAAGCGUAGGGAUUUAUCAUAAGUUUUAAACUUUUAAAUAUUGAGUAUAACAAAAGUUAUUUCAGGUUUUAGAUUUUCGUGUUAUAACCUGCAUGAUAUUGUCAUUUAUAUACGAUUUAUUAUACUUUCAAUUUAAACAACUAAAAAUAAAAUUUUAGGUUUCAAUGUGUGAACUACAAAUUAGUUUGUUAUUAUAGUAUAAUUAUAAUUUUUUUUUAAAUUAAACAUUUAAUACAUUUUCCCGGUGUUUCUAUGGGGUUAAUUCGGGGUUAUUUUUUCAACUAUUGAGAAAUUUUUUUAAAGAAAGACUUACAUACUUUGCAUGAUGGAUACAGCUACUAUUGUUGGUGAGAAGUUGAGAAUAUAGAAUAUAGAGGGGAAGUUAAUUUGUAUCUGUAAGCAACGAUAAACCAUUGCUUACUAAAAACGAUUUUGAGAGGAAUUCAUUUGAUAGUUAUGCUUUGUUAAUAAUAUAUAUGUCAUAUUACGGUAAAUAAUUAAAUAAUCAUUAUAUAUUUUUUUUUUAAUAUUAUUUGUGUAAUAUUAUAAUGAUUUUCCUGUUUUUUUCCGUUUCUUCCGGUUUUCCCGUUUUUUUCCCCCGAUUUUUCACAUUUGUUGGGAAAAAUCUAGGCGAAAUUCGAAAAAUGACCAUUUUAAAGUACCUUCCCACUCAGAUUUACUUUCAGAAAAUGUACUAUCAUUGUAAAAUGGAAUAAAAUUGAUGGUAAGAAAGUUGUUCACAGGAAAAAAAAAGGCCGUAAUAUUUCUUUACUAAUACCUACAUUCCCGUUUCAUCCUAUUUGUUGAAAAAACUCCUGAUUUUUUUUAUUCAAUGUUUUCCAACAAUUUCUGGUAUAUUUUAUAGCGAUUAGUUUACCACGUUGGUUACUUAUAUAGUAUGAUGAAACUAUUAAAUGGCAUUAUAGAAAUAUUACUCGAGCGUAGAAAGCGAAGAAAUUCGAGUGGGAUGUUUUGCUGUGAUGUUGUGGUCACUACCGUUCACGCAGACUAUAAUAUUAUGUUAUAUAGGUUGCAUUAUGCGUUUUAUUAUACUCUUGUGAAACGUUAGACUUAUAACAUCGCAUAGCUAUUUAAACUCAGAAUACAGUAUGUAAUUUGAUAUUUUUAAACGUUUAACAACAACUUCCGUGGAUGGUAUUGAUUUAUCAUAAAAUAUAAUGGUAAUAUCAUUAUAUUUUAAAUGCAGGUUAUUUUUUCAAUUUCAAUACUUGCCUAACAAUAUUCAAAGACAUUUUCCGUUUAAAAUUUUAUAAAUUCCAAUAUUUUUAAUUUAUUUUAAAUUAUAUAAACAUAUAACGGGAGAGGGUAUAUAAUUCUACGGGUGUUUGACAAUCCCUGGGCCUCGUCAUCCUACUGGAGAUACGCCCCAGGUGGCAUAUGGUAUUGUUGCUUUACGGCAGAAGAAUUCAUCUUACGGUGAACAAUACCAUUGACAUGCUGUCUAGUAUACUGAGGAGGCAGAAGGCAUUUCUAAAUUCAAAAUCCACAACAUCAGGAAGCCAACGGGAAACCACCUGAUUAUAUUAACCACAGGCAAUCGUAAUGGACAAUGAAAAAUGUUUUUAUCUAAUUUCCAACAAUUCAAAAACGGAUAGUUAUUUAUACAUUAUUAUACACGGAUAUGAUUACUAUCCAUAGACACUCAAAUAGGAUAUUCACAUAUUAGAAAUAUAGAUUCAAUAUAUUGUCUCAUUCGCCUUCGUCCCAACUAUUUGGGGUCGGCCACCCUCGUUCUAAAUUUUUACUGCUUUAGAUUCCAUAACUAUCCAUUGUUAUCGCAUACCUAAAUAAUUUCGGUCUAUUUUCCCUCGUCUUUUCUAUUUCGAAACCACGCCUAAGCUACCUCAUAAGUCGUUAUCUUAUCCUUUCUCAUUACUCCAUUUACGCACCUAACUAUUUUCAUCUCUGAUACACCCAUUCUCUGCUCUAUUUUUCUCUCUACCGGCCACCACUCUGAACCAUUAUUAAUUAAUUUGCAAAAAUCGGAUUAAUAAUUCGGUGCAUAUCCAUAAAAAUGCAUUGUUAAAUAAAAAAAUUGUUUUGCUAUAUCUGUAAGUACUCGCGGUGUGAAAGUGGAAAAUUUAACGCGUACGGUCGACGGAUUUAUUAUAUUUAUUUUAGAUUUGGAUGAACGCAUAGCGAGGAAUGUAUUUUUUUUUUCAAAAUUAUUAUAAAGUAACUGAAUCGGCGUAUCGCGGAGUAUCGAUGAAAUCCAUAUUAAAGUAGAAGUCGUGAACCGCGCUGUACAUUAUGGGCAUUUUUUUUUGAAAUGUCCUAUAAUGUACAACACCGACGGCUAGUGGCAGUGCGGCAUUAUAGUGGUAUACGGGACAGUUCAUUAAAACAAAAGCCCUUUGUUUUGUUAUAUACGUAUAUCACAUCACAAAAUAAGCCUUUUGUGUAUAAAUCAAUCGUAUAAACACGGGGCAAAAAAUCCAUCAUAAUAAUACGAAAUUUAUAUAAAAUUAUGAAUAUUAUUAUAUUUAAAAUAUUCAUCAUCGUUGCGCUAUAAAAUAAAUUGCUCAACGACGUGCCCUUAUUCAAACGCGCAUAAUGUAUAGAACAGAUGCAAUUUACUGCCAUUACGUUAUGCGACAUUUACAUCGCGUUUAGUACAUUAAAUCGUACAGAGUACUGCGUAUAUACGGUGAUUCGAAUGUUUAUCCCGUUUCGGUGAAUUGCCAAAAUUAUCGCUAUGUGUAUAAUAUGAACACGGCUGGAAACACCGUAUAAAGUCUAGUGACACCGUCAUAAUAAUGAAAAUAUAGUGUAUUAUACCAGGACGUAUAAUACACAAUGUCGGACGACUUAGUGCGCAUCGCGGUAAUUAUUUAAAUUCCGAAAUAUCGCGGAUUUGAAUAAACAAAAUUGCGUGACUAUGUAUUAUUUAUAGCACAGCGGAUAUUUUUAAAACACCCAGAGGAAUUACAGGCGGCGAACUUUGAACGGCCGCAGUUGACGGUUUUUUUUUAAAAACAAAACAAAAAAAAAAAAACCUACGAGUGGGCGAAGAGAUAACUUUGUUUUAAACAAAACAUUUGACGUAGAGACUCCGUCGGGUGCCUCGCAAUGCUCAAUUACAAUAAUCCGUCGUUAAAAAAUGCGACAGGUAAAAAUUUAGUUGAAAACUUAUUUUUUGAUAUUCCGUGUAGUAUUGAAAACUGAGCAUUUUUUAUUGUAUAGUUUUUUUUUUUUUGUAAUUCAAUUAGAAGUAUUCGUAUACACUUGAAAUGAUGAUUUAUAUUUGCUUUUUCUAUAAAAUUUGAGCUAUUUGUGUGAUAUUUAUAGAUAUUUUAGUUUUGGGAGAUUUAACGUAAUUUGUAUUUGGUAAGUACUCUACUACAAAUUUUGACGAAAAUCGUAAAUAUUAUGGUCUUCUAAAACACGUGUAACCUAUUUUCGCUCCGAAUUAUAUUUUCGUUAUCAAUAGUUGAUCGUUGCUUACCGAUAUAAAUUAAAUAACUUCACAUAUAUCCUAUAGUUUCCUAACUUUCCACCUACAACGGUGGCACAUCCAUCCCCAGUAACAGAUCUUCUUCAAUUUUGUAAACGGCAUAUUAUUUUAUGAGACGCAUGCAGGUAUCACCGCCGAAUUUUAUAGAAUAUUCACGUUAUAAUUUAUAAGACAUAGGUUAGGUAUCAUAGAUUUAAUAUAAUAUAAACUUUUUUCUAUAGUUUUCGUUUUUUGGCCACUUUUCAAAAAAUUCAUAAGACUUACGACUUUACAUAUAUGUAUUAAUAAAUAUUAUUAAAAUUCCCUUUACACAGCCAUGUCGGAUGCAUCACGAACAUUCCUCUCUGAUCAUAUCUAAACAUAUCAUAUUACCAUUUAUUCGAAACUAUUAAACUCGUUGAAAUUCAUAGAACUUUUAAUUUAAAUUUUUUUUGUUUACCAUCAUGGGCGCAAACAAUUUAAAUUCACAUUUAUAAUAUAUUAAAUAUUAUACGAAACAAAGACAUAAUAUAUGCUAAACGCGAUAUAGACAUUUUCGUUUUACCAAUAUUCCGCUUUAUAAUAUUUGCCAAUUUUUUAUAUUAUUAUAUAUAGUUCGCAACAUCACUUUAGUUACAGUUUUUUUUUCUGUCACUGCCAUUUUGUUAUUAACCAAAGAAUAUUUAUUUUUAUUACCAAGGGGCAUGCGCGUGACCUGCUUUUUACUCAAAAAUACACUUAUAGAAAAAAACACUCAUGCCCCGUAAAGUGAAACGAUUUCGAUAGUCUUUUUUUCUUUUUUUUAUUUCAAAAAGUACGAAUUUUUAUAGAUCGAACUGGACUUGGAUUUUGAAAAAUUAUACUUCUAAUAAUUAUAUUUUAUAAGUUAAUGUUUAAUAUGACCGAUUUCAACCUUUUUAUUUUAUGGGACUUGGUUAUACUCGUAUAAUCAAAAAUCAAAGUCCUAUGUCCCCUGUUAGAUGUUUUUCUCUAUUCAACAAAUAAUUAUCUAUACCAGAUCACUGUUCAUGACAUGAUUGUAUUUUUUGUAAAGCGCGGGGUUGAGCGUAAGCCCAUUAACGUAAAAAUUAAAACUGAUUGAAUUAUAUUUGUUAAGAAUUGCACAUGUUACAAAUUCGUUAUUAACAACUGUUGACAAUUUAUAUAUAAAAAAAAACUACGAGCAGAAUUCUUAAUAUCUUUAGAUACACAUGUUUAGAACAUAUUAUUAUUAUAUUAAAUUACCUAUUUGUAACGAUAUUUCGCAUAAAUCAUUUGAAACUUUUGACUUUUAUGUAUAUUUAUCUUUAUUAUUUUAUUAUGUAAAAUAUUACAAUGAAAUAUUGUGCUUGUAUCAUGAAUAUAUGGCUAAAAAAAAAAUAAUAAAAAAAUUGAUCUAUACAAAUUAUCAUGUAUCAUAUACAAGUAUUUUUCAACACCUACUUAUAAAACAAUUUUUCAAAAGUAAAUUUAAUAUAUUUCCAGUGUACAGCAAAAUAAUAUAAGAAAAGUAAUUCGUCAUAAUCCUGUUUCGGUUGUCUAUCUAUAAAGCUCGGAAGAAUAUUUUUAUUUAGAUGCUUAAUGAUUCAGUUAACGCUUUAAUAUUAAUGUUGAAUCUGUAUUCGGUAUUAUCAAAAAAACAAACUAAAUUAGAUUAAAACGGCGAGAGUUUUAAAAUUGUAUUAUUAUCGUCGUAUUCGAGUUACCCGAUAACCCCUGUGCUUUACUGUAUAAAUUAUAGAGAAACGUGUGUUUUGAAUACUAUAUAAUAUAUUAAAGUAGUUGUAUUUUUUUUUUUUUUUUUAGUAUAAAACAUUGGUUUUGAAGAAAACAAGAAAAAACACUAUACCGGGACGUUCGUUCAGAAUGUAAAUGUACCCAUAUAUACACACGCCACCAUAAAGUCGAGUGCUCCGGGGGACUCGGUGAUCAAAAGACAUUUUCAUUUCGUGAAUGAUUAUACUAUUAUUUCAAAACGUACAGAGCUAUCUAUAUAGAUAUGUAUAAGAUGUAUGAAAAU